AUUGAACGCUGGCGGCAGGCCUAACACAUGCAAGUCGGGCGAGUGGCGGACGGGUGAGUAAUGUAUGGGGAUCUAGCUGAUGGAGGGGGAUAACUACUGGAAACGGUAGCUAAUACCGCAUACCAUCGGAUGAGCCCAAGUGGGAUUAGCUAGUUGGUGAGGUAACGGCUUACAUAGGCGACGAUCACUAGCUGGUCUGUGAGGAUGACAAGCCAAACUGGAACUGAGACACGGCCCAGACUCCUACGGGAGGCAGCAGUGGGGAAUAUUGCACAAUGGGCGCAACCCUGACGCAGCCAUGCCGCGUGAAUGAAGAAGGCCUUCGGGUUGUAAAGUUCUUUCAGUAGCGAGGCGUUACCUACAGAAGAAUCACCGGCUAACUCCGUGCCAGCAGCCGCGGUAAUAC
rnacentral:rRNA from 1 species